AUGCUGGCAAUUUUCAGAUUGCACCCAUUUAAUUAUAGCACACUAUAUCACAUUUGUGGUAAAUUUAGAAAAGCUUGUGCGUACCCUUUUAGUAGUCAAUAUGGUUCAGAUGCAGUAUUUUUUAUUUCCUUUUUUUGCUUUCAGCACACACAUAUGGCAUUGAAGUUCUUUAUCAUGUAUGUAGGCAGAUUAGUUGUGUCACUUACUGAUGCUCUUAUGGUACACAGUACACUAUUAGGGUGUUGGGCCCAGAAAAAGGAAGUAAAUGAAGCCCAUAGGUGGAGGAAUUUGGAUGAUCUGUAG
rnacentral:rRNA from 1 species